AAAAAUAAAUAAAUUAAAUAAAACAUUAAGGAAAGGAAAAAAUAUUUUUUGGUAUUUUUAUAAAUGAAUAAAGUAUUUUUAUUAAUUAAAAUGAAAACGGAAAUUAAAUGUGGAAUUUAGAAAAGAAAUGAAAAUAAAUAAACAAAAAGAAAUGAUGGGCCAGAUGGUGGUGCAGGUAGCAGUAUGAGCGCUAGGCCCAGCCCACGGAAUUGCCAACGUUACAUCUAAAAAUAAAAUAAAAA
rnacentral:lncRNA from 1 species